AAUUUUAUAAAAUAAAUAAGUUAAAUAAAUAAAAAAUUAAAAAAUAACUUUGUAAAAGGAGAUCCGUAAUUUUUUCAUAAAAAAUUAGAUUAUUUUACGGAAUUGAUUUUGAUAUUUCAUCUAUUUUUAUAAAAUUUUGAUAAAAUUUAGUUUAACAUCUCAAUAAUAAAAAUCUACAAAAUAUUGCGUAGAAUUUACCUUUUUCUGAAGCAUCUUCAGGUGUAGAAGUCAUCGCUGAAGGAAGCUUGUCGGGUAGUGCUGAUCUGGUGAAUUGACCUUCUUUGUUAGAAGGAUAGAGGAGUAUGGAAGUCUUUAAACUCAAACUACCAUGUCUGAAAAUGAUAAAAAAGGAAAAAACUUUCAGUGAUGGGAUUAACGUUUCAAUCGUUUAAAUAAGGUAGAUGAUAUUAGAUGAAAAAUAAAGUAGGCCCAGCUAGAUAAAUUCUACAGAAAAAAAUAAGAUAAAUCAAGAUAAAAAGAAAAGAUAUAUCUGAGAGAAGGAGAUAUUGUAGGAAAGUAAUUUUUUUAAAACAUAAAACAGAAUCUCAUACGUUACAAUUUGUGGUUUUGUAAACUUUAAUUUUUGUUUGCUAAUUCUUCUUCAAAAAAAUAAGAGAAAAAAAAAA
rnacentral:lncRNA from 1 species